rnacentral:lncRNA from 10 species
GCAACACUGACAGUUUUAAGUUGUGGCGUGAUCAAAAGUCACAGCUGUGGUUAGGGAUAUUUAUACGUUGGGUAUUAGUAGGAUGGAAGUGAUGAAGGGAGAGAGGCCAAUUAGGCCAUGAUUGCUCUGAGGAUGGGAAGUACGUGAAUGUGGAAUCUUGGGGCAAUAGAACGGACAGAACGUAGUGUAGCAAAGCUUCUCUCCAUAACGUUCCUCUGGCCAAGUGAGAAACAUGAAGAUUAGAAGUGCAGCACAUGCCUUCUGAAGAAGCCAGGCAUGGAACAGUUCUGGGAACACAGCACUGAUAAAACUCUUAGGGAUGAAUUUACCUAUACCUGUGUUUCAGCCUUGUGAUCUGAUUCCACAGGAUGCGAGCAUAUGCAGUGGAAACAUUGUGUUAUUCCAUCCUCAGAAGAAAAGAGACAGUAUUAUACUUCGUCUCUUGCUAGUACAGAACUACCACAGAAACAUACCAGGAAAGCUGAGAGAAUCCACAGAUCCUUUGAAGGAAGUGGCUUGCUGUUGCAGGCUCCUUGAGACAGCCAAAAACUGACCUCCAGUACAAUUUUCAGGAGAAGUGGCAAGAAUGGACAUCCACCUCCCACCAUGUGAUGACAUGCAAAACAUUAAAAACUUGAGAUGAAAGCAUGCCGUUCUAAAACAUAUUUGGCUCAAAGAAAAAGAUGCUUCCCAGGACUACAAAAGAUCUUUCUUUAAUGAAACUUUAAUUAAACUUUGCUUUAAUUUGGAUCACAACGAAGAAAAUAAGGACUUUUCAUCUUGCCCCAUGUGGAAAGUAUCAGUGUCUCCUAUGAAUAAAAUUUUUGGAAUUUAAAUGUCUUGCAAUCUUUCAGGACCUUUAGUCCCAUUGAUAAUUGACUAUGACAACAAAAUCAAUUGUUUGCAACUAAAUUUACAAACAUAUAUUUUUAGGAUGGAUACAUGUACCAGAAAUACAUUAUUGUGUGCCCUCUAAGGUGUUAUUAGUAACAAUGGUAAUUAGAGGGAACAAAAGCUGGGAAAAUAAAAUUGGGAGGAGGCUAUAAGCCAGUUCUUUAGGGUUAAUGAAACAAUAGUUGACAUCAUGUUUUCCCUCCCCAAAGAAGCCACCAAAUGGCAACACAUAAUUAGUAUGAAAUAACACUAUUCAGAACAAUUCUUAGGUGCUAAAUACUUUGUUAUCUACAAAGAACACAUAUUUGAAAAACGUCAACUUUUGAAAAGACUCAAAUAGAGUGUUUGAAUAUGUGUCAUGUUUAGAAUCUGGUCUGUUUCAUAGGGAAUGUUCUUGCUGUCAAUACCACUGUGUGUUACCUCUUCACUGGGAAGGAGUCCAUAUGUCUCAGAUUUGCCCUUGACCACAGACAUUUGCCAAGAAGAGACAAGAAAUGUGUCCUCAUUUGUACAGAUGUACGGAGAAGAAAGCUCAUCAUUUUCAAAAAACAACUAAAAUGCCUUCUCUGUACUGAACAUUAUGUGUGUGGAUUACAGAGUGGAAUAAGAGGGAUGCAACCUGGCCUUAAUAAGGGAGAGGUGUUCAUGGCACACGUAUACCUUUGUAACAAACCUGCACAUUCUGCACAUGCAUCUCAG